UACGUAGGUGGCGAGCGUUGUUCGGAUUUACUGGGCGUAAAGCGCGUGUAGGCGGGCUUGUAAGUUGGGGGUGAAAUCCCGAGGCUCAACCUCGGAACUGCCUCCAAAACUGCAAGCCUGGACCCAAAGAGAGGCGAGUGGAAUUGCGAGUGUAGAGGUGAAAUUCGUAGAUAUUCGCAGGAACACCAGUGGCGAAGGCGACUCUUUGGCCUAUAACUGACGCUGAGGCGCGAAAGCGUGGGGAGCAAACAGG
rnacentral:misc_RNA from 1 species